UGUGAAUCUGUAAGCACGACAUUUUCAUUAAAAAUUUGAUUUAUUUUCGAUUUGGAUAUGGAGAAUAUUGUAAUUCGUUCACCUGGCCGCUUCAGGAUCUGUUCAAUUAUUUUCUGUAGAGGCGAGAAAAAUUCUUAUAUUCCAAAGAAACCAUUAUAGCUAGAGGUAAGUAGGUUAACUUAUUAAAUAUAAUACUUCAAAACAAGUAAAAUCAGCUGCCAAAU